CCUUUUGGAGAAGACUCUUUCCCUCCCCAGGACAGCAGCAGUUGCCCUACUGAGUUAAUGUGAUAAGGAGAAAAAAAAAAGGGAUUGAUGGUUAAGAGAAUGGUUGAACACAGCACAUCUCAGGAUGGGGCAAUAUUUGGUGAGAACCAUAUUGGAUUCUACCAAAUUACAAAUAUAUUCCAGAUUUUACCCCAAUCCUGGUUUCCCACCUUGAAAAUGAGUGCCAGGGGUCAUAAGGAAGACUGAAAGAGAACAUAGAGAGUUCAGUGCAAAUCUAUUGCCGUUACCAGACAGUAAUUCAACAGCUUCAUCUUUGAACCAUUAGGUGAGCUUCUAUUA
rnacentral:lncRNA from 1 species